rnacentral:rRNA from 1 species
UACGUAGGGUGCAAGCGUUGUCCGGAAUUAUUGGGCGUAAAGAGCUCGUAGGCGGUUUGUCGCGUCUGCUGUGAAAUCUGGGGGCUCAACCCCCAGCCUGCAGUGGGUACGGGCAGACUAGAGUGCGGUAGGGGAGAUUGGAAUUCCUGGUGUAGCGGUGGAAUGCGCAGAUAUCGUCAGGAACGCCGAUGGUGAAGACAGGUGACUGGGCUAGUUCUGACACUGAGGCACGAAAGCGUGGGGAGCGAACGGG